UACGGAGGGUGCAAGCGUUGUUCGGAUUUACUGGGCGUAAAGCGCGCGCAGGUGGAUGAACAAGUCGGAAGUGAAAUCUUGAGGCUCAACCUCGAGGCUGCUCCCGAAACUGCCGAGCUUGAGUACUUAAGAGGAUCGCGGAAUUCCCGGUGUAGAGGUGAAAUUCGUAGAUAUCGGGAGGAACACCAGUGGCGAAGGCGGCGAUCUGGGAAGAUACUGACGCUGAGGUGCGAAAGCGUGGGGAGCAAACAGG
rnacentral:rRNA from 1 species